rnacentral:rRNA from 1 species
AUUGAACGCUGGCGGCAUGCCUUACACAUGCAAGUCGAACGGCAGCGGGGGAGAAGCUUGCUUUUCCUGCCGGCGAGUGGCGAACGGGUUAGUAAUACAUCGGAACGUGCCCUGUAGUGGGGGAUAACUAGUCGAAAGAUUAGCUAAUACCGCAUACGACCUGAGGGUGAAAGUGGGGGACCGCAAGGCCUCAUGCUAUAGGGGCGGCCGAUGUCUGAUUAGCUAGUUGGUGGGGCAAAGGCCUACCAAGGCGACGAUCAGUAGCUGGUCUGAGAGGACGAUCAGCCAAACUGGGACUGAGACACGGCCCAGACUCCUACGGGAGGCAGCAGUGGGGAAUUUUGGACAAUGGGCGAAAGCCUGAUCCAGCAAUGCCGCGUGUGUGAAGAAGGCCUUCGGGUUGUAAAGCACUUUUGUCCGGAAAGAAAUGGCUCUGGUUAAUACCUGGGGUCGAUGACGGUACCGGAAGAAUAAGGACCGGCUAACUACGUGCCAGCCGCCGCCGUAA